CAAGACCUUCGGGUCUAGCGGCGGACGGGUUAGUAACGCGUGGGAACGUACCCUUUUCUAAGGAAUAGCCACUGGAAACGGUGAGUAAUGCCUUAUACGCCCUUCGGGGGAAAGAUUUAUCCGGAGAAGGAUCGGCCCGCGUUAGAUUAGAUAGUUGGNGGGGUAAUGGCCCUACCAAGUCUACGAUCUAUAGCUGGUUUGAGAGGAUGAUCANCCACACUGGGACUGNGACACGGNCCAGACUCCUACGGGAGGCAGCAGUGGGGAAUCUUACACAAUGGGCGCAAGCCCUGAUUUAGCCAUGCCNCCGUGANNGANGAAGGCCCUUACGGUUCNNANAGNUCUUUCNCCUGNGAAGAUUAUGACUGUAGCNGGUAAAGAAACCCCCG
rnacentral:rRNA from 1 species